rnacentral:rRNA from 1 species
AAUCAACGCUGGCGGCGUGCCUCAGACAUGCAAGUCGAACGCGAAAGUCCCCUUCGGGGGAUGAUUAGAGUGGCGCACGGGUGAGUAACACGUAGGUAAUCUACCUUCGAGUGGGGAAUAACUCAGGGAAACUUGAGCUAAUACCGCAUAAUGCAGCGGCACCACAUGGUGACAGUUGUUAAAGCAUUUAUGCGCUUGAAGAGGAGCCUGCGGCGGAUAGCUAGUUGGUAAGGUAAUGGCUUACCAAGGCUACGAUCUGUAACCGGCCUGAGAGGGCGGACGGUCACACUGACACUGAAUAACGGGUCAGACUCCUACGGGAGGCAGCAGUCGGGAAUUUUGGGCAAUGGGCGAAAGCCUGACCCAGCAACGCCGCGUGAAGGAU